ACUUGACUUGUGACCUUGGUUUCCUACCCAUUGUUUCUCCUCAGCUCCUCCGAUCCGAUCCUUUGAUUACACAGAUACAGACAAUAAUGGCUUCGCAUUACUACUACACCCAAACCCAAUCAUCAUUACAUAUCCUUGCAGCAGCUCUCUUAGUUAUCCUUUGUUCGCAAUCCAGCCUUAUCUGUGGGCACCCGCUUGCGGAGUAUAAUAUUGCCAACUCCUCCUCCUCUAUUAUUUCCUGGACCAACAUAAAUAUUAAUUACUCCUAUGUCCCAAAUUAUUCAGAUGAAGUUCGAUUAUCCACCGGGGUUAUCCUGUUCAGACAAAUUAAUUCUUCUACGAGCUUUGCAUGUGGCCUAAUCUGUGAUGAUUUGGGCACUACCUGCCUCUUCGGUGUCCUCCUCUAUUCCCAAUAUGUUUAUUACAACUCGACUUACCACUACCAGUAUCUAAUGUGGUCUGCUAUCCAGAAGCGAACUGUGACAGUAAAUGCAAGCCUGGAACUGAGGCGAGAUGGAGGGCUGUUUCUGAUGGACUCUGAUGGAUCCCUGGUUUGGUCCACGCACACCAACACCAAUGGGAGUCGUAGUGUCUCCGGUUUGAAUUUGACGGAGAAUGGAAAUCUUGUCAUUUUUGGACAUAAAAAUAAAACCAUUUGGCAGUCUUUUGAUUAUCCUGUGGACGUUAUACCACCUCGGCAAGGGCAAGUAAAACGUAGUUUCAUGGAGCUUGUCGGAGGCAGCAUAUCAACUUCAAACUAUGGAGAAGAUUGGGUGGUUCCAUUAUCUGAAGUUCUCCUGUUCCGUCAAAGCAGCAUUGAUAAUGAGGCGAUGUUUGCGUGUGGCUUAAUCUGUAAUGACUCAGGCACUACCUGCCUCUUCGGUAUCCUCAUAUUCAAUCAUGGCCCUAUGAAUAUGGAUAUGGAUAUAUCCAAUGAAUUAAAGUUGGAUUACCAGACUCUAGUUUGGUCUGCUAACCGGAACCAUCCUGUGACAGUAAAUGCAAGCGUGGAACUGAGGCGAGAUGGAGGCUUGUUUCUCAUGGACUCUAAUGGAACAGUGGUUUGGUCCACACACACUAAUGGGAAUCCUGCCGUGGGUUUGAAUUUGACGGAGAAUGGAAACCUUGUCAUUUUUGGGAAAAGUAAUGAAACCAUUUGGCAGUCUUUUGAUCAUCCUACAGACACUAUACUACCUGCUGGGAAAGCAAUGCCUGGGCUUAGGGGACAGACGCUCAAAGCCAGUAUAUCAAGAUCAAAUUUUGGAGAAGGUUUCUAUUCUCUCUACAUUGAUUCUGACUAUUCGGCUUAUGCUUAUGUAGGGGGAUCCUCUAAUGCAUAUUGGUUUCGAUAUGCUAAUAUAUUAGAUAUUUCCAAAUAUUUUUCAAAUACUACAGCAUUCAUCAAGUUUGAGACUGAUGGACGUUUGAGAACGUAUGGAAGUUCAUCAUCAAUACUUGAGUCUUCUGACUGGGUGGAAACUGCUGAUGUUUUCACACCUUUUACUGGUUUUUGUGGAUACCCAUUGGCUUGCGGAAGAUACGGCGUUUGUGAUGGGGUUAAUCAAUACUGUAGUUGUCCUCCUGAACUCAGCUUUAUCACGCAAAAUAACCAGAGUCAAGCAAACAAAGGAUGCUCUUUAAUUAUUCCCAUUUCUUGUGAGCAUUCCCAAAUCCAUACUCUUCUGGAGAUGAAGGAUACGACUUACAUUGGCCACAAUGUGAGAGAUGAAUUUGGUGACUACACAGAUUUAAAAAGUUGUAAAAAAAAAUGUUUAAGGGACUGCUCAUGCAAAGCACUUCAUUUUGAUGGUGGUUAUUCAAAAGGGUACUGUUUAUUGCUGAAUGAAGUUCUCUCCCUUGCGACCAUGGACGUGGGAAGCAACAAAUCUAUUUAUCUGAAGGUGCAAAAUUCCUCGACUCUGCAGACUCUUCCAUCAAUUCUAAAAAUAAGUCAUCCAUGGGUUCAGCAGAGGCAUGCCAAAAUGAUAUUAGGGACUAUUGGUGCUUCCAUCCCUGUGCUUUUAAUAAUCACCAUUUAUUUUGUCUUGGUUAGAAAGAAAAAAGUUCAGCUCAAAGAUGAGGAGGAGUUUUUGGAUGGUCUGCCAGGGUUGCCUACUCGAUUCUCUUAUCAAGACUUGAGUGCUAUGACUCAAAAUUUCAAUAGGAAACUAGGGGAAGGAGGAUUUGGUUCUGUUUUUGAAGGUGCACUGCGUCAAGGCACUAAAAUUGCAGUAAAGUGCCUCAAAGAAGUUGAUCAAAUAAAGAGUUCAUUUCUGACAGAAGUUGCAUCAAUAGGAAGCAUGGAUCACGCAAAUCUGGUCAAAUUAAUAGGCUUUUGUGCUGCAAAAUCACAAAGACUUCUGGUGUAUGAACACAUGGCCAAUGGCUCUUUGGAUAAAUGGAUUUUUAAUGGGAAGCAACAGCAGCAGCAGGAACAUGGUCUCACUUGGCAAACCAAAAAGAAAAUCAUGUCAGAUGUUGCCAAAGGGUUAGCAUAUCUUCACGAAGAUUGCAACCAUAAGAUCAUUCACUUGGACAUCAAACCUCAGAACAUCCUCUUAGAUCAAAAUUUCAACGCAAAAGUGGCAGACUUUGGUUUGUCAAAGCUGGUAGCAAAAGACCAGAGCAAAGUUGUCACCACACCGAGAGGAACUCCAGGUUACAUAGCUCCAGAAUGUGCGAGCUUGAUUAUUACAGAGAAAGUAGAUGUUUACAGCUUUGGGAUCGUGAUGCUAGAAAUUGUUUGCGGGCGGAAGAAUGUGGACUGGGAUCAGGCCGAGGAAGAAGUGCACUUGCUGAGCGUGUUCAAGAGAAAAAUAGAAGAAGAUAAAGUUGGUGAGAUGUUCGAUAUGUACAACAAAGAUUUGGAAGUGCAGAAAGAAGAAGGAAUAGAAAUGAUGAGGAUUGCUGGUUGGUGCUUACAGAGUGAUUAUACCAAGAGGCCAUCCAUGUUAGUGGUGGUGAAGGCAUUACAAGGUUUGACAACUGUUGAUAAUAACUUAAACUUGGAUUACAACUUCAGUAAUCAGGAUAGGGAAGCAGCUCCUGAUGCUACCAGCAAUACAUCAUUAAUUCCAUCAAUUUUAUCUGGACCAAGGUGAAGGGCAUGCCUGCUUAAUCCAUUGUUCUGUCACAACAUAAUAAAGCAAAUUACAUGAAUUAACUGAGCGCCAUACUGAGGUACGAGAGCUGUUCCAGCUUGAGGAGCAUGCGCAUAAGACGGGGACAACUCGAAAGCAUAGCGCCGUAGGAUUAUAGCUAAUGCCAUCUUGGCCUCUAACAUGGCAAAGUUCUGUCCAAUGCAAAUCCGAGGUCCCCAGCCGAAUGGGAAGAAGGAGAACUGCCCUUUGGUUGCUUUGCUAAU